rnacentral:rRNA from 1 species
GCUCGUGUCGUGAGAUGUUCGGUUAAGUCCGGCAACGAGCGCAACCCACAUCCCUAGUUGCCAGCAGUUCGGCUGGGCACUCUAUGGAAACUGCCCGUGAUAAGCGGGAGGAAGGUGUGGAUGACGUCAAGUCCUCAUGGCCCUUACGGGUUGGGCUACACACGUGCUACAAUGGCAGUGACAAUGGGUUAAUCCCCAAAAGCUGUCUCAGUUCGGAUUGGGGUCUGCAACUCGACCCCAUGAAGUCGGAAUCGCUAGUAAUCGUGGAACAGCAUGCCACGUCGAAUACGUUCCGGCCUU